CACGGGGGGCGCAAGCGUUAUUCGGAAUUAUUGGGCGUAAAGGGCGCGCAGGCGGUCUUGUCAGUCAGGUGUGAAAGCCCGGGGCUCAACCCUGGAAGUGCACUUGAAACAGCAAGACUUGAAUACGGGAGAGGAGAGAGGAAUUCCUGGUGUAGAGGUGAAAUUCGUAGAUAUCAGGAGGAACACCGAUGGCGAAGGCAUCUCUCUGGACCGAUAUUGACGCUGAGGCG
rnacentral:rRNA from 1 species